UUUAGGUGCAGCGUCGGUUGAUUGCGUGUGGGGGGCAGAGCUACUGGAUGCUUGCGGGCCCGUGCCGGGUACCAACAGCAACCAAACUCCGAAUACCCAUCGCGUCUAUUCCGGCAGUGAGUCGGCGGGGGAUAAGCCCCGCCGUCGAGGGGGAGACAGCACUGACCGUCGUCUAAGGUCCCCAAGCGCGUGCUAAGUGGGGAAGGAUGUGGAGUGGGAUAGACAGC
rnacentral:rRNA from 1 species